rnacentral:rRNA from 1 species
AGAGUUUGAUCCUGGCUCAGAUUGAACGCUGGCGGCAUGCUUUACACAUGCAAGUCGAACGGCAGCACAGGGAGCUUGCUCCCGGGUGGCGAGUGGCGCACGGGUGAGUAAUACAUCGGAACGUGUCCUGUUGUGGGGAGUAACUGCUCGAAAGGGUGGCUAAUACCGCAUGAGACCUGAGGGUGAAAGCGGGGAUCGCAAGACCUCGACGCAAUUGGAGCGGCCGAUGCCCGAUUAGCUAGUUGGUGAGGUAAAGGCUCACCAAGGCGACGAUCGGUAGCUGGUCUGAGAGGACGACCAGCCACACUGGGACUGGAGACACGGCCAGACCUCCUACGGGAGGCA